GACGAACGCUGGCGGCGUGCUUAACACAUGCAAGUCGAACGGAAAGGCCCCUUUGGGGGUACUCGAGUGGCGAACGGGUGAGUAACACGUGAUUAACCUGCCCUUGACUUCGGGAUAACUUCAGGAAACUGGGGCUAAUACCGGAUAGGAAUCCUUGCUGCAUGGUGGGGGUUGGAAAGCUUCGGCGGUUUUGGAUGGACUCGCGGCUUAUCAGCUUGUUGGUGGGGUAGUGGCUUACCAAGGCUUUGACGGGUAGCCGGCCUGCGAGGGCGACCGGCCACAUUGGGACUGAGAUACGGCCCAGACUCCUACGGGAGGCAGCAGUGGGGAAUAUUGCACAAUGGACGGAAGCCUGAUGCAGCAACGCCGCGUGCGGGAUGACGGACUUCGGGUUGUAAACCGCUUUCAGCAGGGGCGAAGCUUGUGGUGACGGUACCUGCAGAAGAAGCACCGGCUAACUACGUG
rnacentral:rRNA from 1 species